GCCCAAUCUACAGCUGUAGCUGAUGUCUCACUCCCAGCAGCAAAAAUAUCCUGAAAGUAAUUAAUUUAUUAAAUGAUCAAAAACUAGUUUCCUCUAUGAAUUGCAAACAAUUCUAAGUAAAUAGAAAAAUAUUAUAAAUAAUCUUAAAAGAAGAAACCAUUAUUCAUGUACCCAAGUAAGCUCAUUCACAAGUUAUAAAUGUUGACUCUUAAGAGUGUCUUAAAUAUCAGGUAAUGAUUAUGGAGAACAAUAGACACAUGUGAAACAUUUCUCAUCAGUAAAUCACUCAUCAUGAAAAUGCUGCACAUUGGAGUUUCAAUCAAUAGUUUAAGAUAAUGCGUGAUUAGAAUGCAGGAAGAAUUUUAAUCAGCUUUUUCAAGUAGAUAAGUUGUUAUAUGGUUUCGAACAAGAGAUAUAUAGACAGCACAAUGUUGUCUCUUACAAAACAUAUUGUACUUGAAGAACUAGUUGUAGAAGCUUUGGACGGCUGAAGGGAAUGAUGUAAGGGAUUAGCUGAAUUUGCUUAACUAGAUUAUAGCUCAAUUUUUUGGUGUCUGUAGAGGUAAGUCGAUGAGAAAGACCAGCCAUAUUUUUUCUGGCGUCCUUGCUAACAUUGUUUGAAUCUUUGGUGACUACACUACUUGUAGUGUGUCUACAAUGCGGUUUGUGCUAUGGUUACUCUUCUAAGGAUAAAUGUUGAAGGAAAUAAAUGGUACUUUUGUGGUCAUCAAGAACCAGAAAAUAUUACCAGUAUGCUGAGACUGAUGGAGGGCCAUGUGUGGAGACAGCUUGCGAAACUACUUCCAAUACCCAAUCACUUAAUGAUUAUAGCAUAGCAAGGAAUAAGCCCAAGACAGAAGCUAGGAAAACUAUCAGGUUUCAAGAUGAGUAUAUUCAAUAACUUGGGAACUCUACGUUUGUUGGGCUGGGACCUAGGACUUGCUGUCAGUCAUUAAAUAUGAUUUUAAUCUUCUGUUUGAGAUUAUCUCCUAUAAGUAUGUUGUAUGGACAACUCUUGUAAUCCAAGUUUGAAUAAAAAACCAUUGAGUUAGCUGUCAAAGCUUCUCUUUUAGCUUGUAUCUUGUUAUUCCAAUCCCAAUUCUCUGCAAAUUCUAGUUGAACUGCAUCAGAGACCCAAGAUCCCUUCACCAUGGUAGCCAAGUUUACUUGACUUGGAAGAUAUGGUGAGGUGACACAACUAUUGAGUCUCACAAUGCCUGGUGAAGUUAAAAGUGAAGUGUCAUAUCUAUAUUUCCAAAAGUUUGAGGCCUAUUUAAGUUUGUGAGGUGGGGUUAAGACCAAACCAGACAAUAUUUGACUAUUUGGAUGCAGAUCAUUACAUGUUGUACCAGAGACUAAACCAUCCGAAGGUGUGUGGCUCCAAAAGUAGUUAGGGAAAACUCAAGCUCAUUUCCAUGCUCAUGAAAUUUAAGGAGAACAUCUACCAGCUUCUUUAUGCAGCCUCUCAAGUUUAGGCCUCAUUCCACUUAAGAGAUGAAUCAAACUGACAGAAGGAAAAACAUCUGCAAGAGC